GUCACUUUGCCGGAGUGGUUAACGGGAUCGCCUGCUAUUGGCCUCAGGGCCAGGCAAAGCGGUUGGUCUUUGACCGCGAGUGUUCGAAUCGCUCAGGUGACG
rnacentral:tRNA from 2 species